GUUGACGCCGCACUUAAAGAAAGAGGCAUGGUCGUAAAUACAUGGCUGUGGAGGGUUUAGUUUGUAAAGAAAUCACGUUGUGUUGUGUCGGUGGGUAAGGGAAACACGAACGCAAAACUUCACGAAGUAGGGUUCGAAGGUUCUUGGCACUCUUUUCAAAACUAUUAACAAUCUUUGUAUGUUGUCCUUCAGCAGCAUUUUUUUAUAACACUAAAGUUCUAAUGAGGUCUUUAACUGCUGCUAAUUAAAAAGAAAUUAAAAAUCGAAGACUUCGCCGAUCAAAGGCGUCGCCAGGGAUAUAAGAAAAUGUUCCGCGUAGAGCUAUAUAUACAUGUGAAAUAAACUGUGUAAAAGGUG